GCGGCCUAUCAGCUUGUUGGAGGGGUAACGGCCCACCAAGGCAACGACGGGUAGCUGGUCUGAGAGGAUGGUCAGCCACACUGGGACUGAGACACGGCCCAGACUCCUACGGGAGGCAGCAGUAGGGAAUAUUGGGCAAUGGGCGAAAGCCUGACCCAGCGACGCCGCGUGAGGGAUGAAGGUCUUCGGAUUGUAAACCUCUUUCAGUAGGGAAGAAGCGAAAGUGACGGUACCUAAAGAAGAAGCACCGGCUAACUAUGUGCCAGCAGCCGCGGUAAUACAUAGGGUGCAAGCGUUGUCCGGAAUUAUUGGGCGUAAAGAGCUCGUAGGUCGUUUGUCGCGUCGAUUGUGAAAAUCUGAGGCUCAACCUCAGACCUGCAGUCGAUACGGGCAAACUAGAGUGUGGUAGGGGAGACUGGAAUUCCU
rnacentral:rRNA from 1 species